rnacentral:lncRNA from 1 species
CCGGCACAGGCGGGCUUGCUUGCAGCCCAGCGGGAGCGGCCAGCCGGGCAGAACUAGCUGGACUUUCCGACGGGCCCCCAUCCCGAGGCUGCGGCAGCUUCGGUUCCGAGCCUGACUGGAACGGAGCCCGAGUCCCGGCCCCUGAGGGGAUCGCUCUCUGCAGACCAGUGGGACCCCGAAACUUGAACGCAAUACCUACUCCCUUUUUAUGCCUUCCUUUGUCACUUCCUCACCUUUCUCCCAGCGCGUUCUUUUUCCCCCCUUUUCGUUCUCCCUCCCUCGAAGGACACAAAAGUGGCUGCCGAGGAAAGAUUUGGAGGCAGUGGGAGCUUUUCUCUUCGGAGAGCGACCGUGUGGAAAGAAUUUUUGGGAAGCAGCUUUCUAACACCUCAGCCCUCCUGCCCCCCCAAGCCUCUCUUUACCUCUCUGAGGAGAAAAAGCCCGUAGAUUGAAAGUUCGGGGGGCAUCUUGCUGGGUGCUGUAAGAGGAAAGUGGGGGAGGACCCCGUCCUCGUCCCGGUAGUUGGCUGGACUUGUACCGGCCGUUGGAAACCCCGAAGUGCAUUUCCGUGUGGGACUUUUAUAGAUCUAUAUUUUUAGAUUUUUAAAUAUCAGAUAAAAAAAUAUAUAUAUAUGCUUUCUAUAUAUUUCCUGACGACCUGCCCCUGACAGCGCGAUGUACAAUACGGUGUGGAGUAUGGACCGCGAUGACGCAGACUGGAGGGAGGUGAUGAUGCCCUAUUCGACAGAACUGAUAUUUUAUAUUGAAAUGGAUCCUCCAGGUACUUGGGAGAGAAAAAGAAUCUUGUGAUGGGUCUGAUUGGUAUAUAACAAGACCUUAGUGAUGUUUUCAGGGCAGAAGUGUUCCUGGGAGCUCUAGGUUUGGGAUGAGGGGCAGAUUUGCAGUUAGAGCUGCAGUAAAACUGCUUCUGGUAUACCCGCUUAAAGUUUGCAGUUAGGACCCCGAUCCUAUUGUCCUGCGAGGGUGGGGGUGGGGGCUGGAGUGGGGGUGGGAGGAGAGACUCAUUUCUUUUACUUCUUUUUGCCUAUGCGUGUCGUUCAGGUUUUUGUUGUGCACCCCCCGGUCCUUCUCUCCCCCCCUCCCCCCCCCCCCCCCCUUAAAGAUCUUCUACCUGCAUAGGAUGCUUUAUAUCCGAGCCUUGAAGUCAGCCUUUCCCUUUAGGGAAAUUCUUUAAAGCUUGUCGUUUCAUACGUUCAUCUUAUUUGAUUCGUUGUGUUCUACCUUCGUUAACUUCUGAAACUGGGUUGCCUAUGUGAUAAUUCAUUUUGACACCCCCCCUUUUUUUUUUUCUCUUACAGAAACCAAAUGCUGGUUAGUGAU